rnacentral:misc_RNA from 1 species
UUGAAAUUUUGAGGAGGAAGAUUGAAAGCGAAGCUCUGUUGCUGGCUUCUCUGCAUUGUGCACGUCUUUACUUUCUAUCUACCUUUCUCUCAUACCUCACACACACCUGUGCACCCUAUUGUAGGUCCUCGAAAGAGGAUCUAUGUAUUUUUUGCAUCACAUCCUAUUAUUGUAUGGUUCAUAGAAUGCAUUGGAGAUAAUAAACUAUA